ACAGUGUUCCUCGCAGAAGAGAAAACGCAAGAAUGGCGUCAACAGUUUCCAUGUACCCAAGUAAUUUGCCAUUUAUUUGCAACAGAAUGAGUAUGCAAAUUGGGACAAACAAUCCUGAGGAGGAUCAAGAGGAUCUUUUAUAGAAAAGCUAUCUCCCCUUUAAUUGCGUCUCAAUAUUUAAGGUUUUGCCGGUGGAGUUUGGAGUACUUACUGUAGAUACGGUUGUAUGCAUCUGCACUGUCGACACGACGGACAUCGCUUGCACCACUUACAACGCUGAGAUGGCUGGCGCUGGCGCAGGGGACGCGUUCGCCGCGGGUUUCGAUGACACGAUCCUCCGGGAACACCGUGGCGACGUUCAUAGCGCCGUUCCUUGCACCGAUUUGCUGGAAAACAAAAGAAAACGGAUUUAACCCCUUUCUCAUUGACCCGACUUUACUCUUUCGACCCUCUGUAACCCAAUCUUUCUUUCAACCCAAGAAGAAAUCUAUGUAAUGUAAAAUUUGCACAUAUUAACUCUGAUAUUAAUUUACUAUUUUUAUAAAUUAAAGAGUUCAUA